rnacentral:rRNA from 1 species
GCCUGAUGCAGCCAUGCCGCGUGUGUGAAGAAGGCCUUCGGGUUGUAAAGCACUUUCAGUAGGGAGGAAAGGCAGUAGUUUAAUAAACUGCUGCUGUGACGUUACCUACAGAAGAAGGACCGGCUAACUCCGUGCCAGCAGCCGCGGUAAUA